rnacentral:lncRNA from 1 species
CUGAAAUCCCGCUUGCCUGAAACACUAAAGAAGUACACAAAAAUAGCCCCAGCCUGGAAUUCUUGAUGUUCAACAAGUAAAUGAAAUUUCAAGAACUCCAGAAAUGUGGGAAGCUUCAAGUUCUACCAUGACUAAUUUUGGAAUACAGAGGACAAAUCUUGGGUGGGUUUUAUAUCAUUGAAGUGCUUGUUUGAAUCUUAAAUUACUUAUUUUACCAGAAAGCAUAAUGUAAUGGGAUGUGUGAAACUACAAUUCCG